UCAUGCUGUACAAGUUGUUUACAAAGGCCGACACUUCUUCGUGGAUGCCAUUAAACUGAAAGUUUAAUAGUUCCAUCAGAGCAUUACACGACGCGGGUACAUCCAUGUAAAAGGUAGGCAAGUCACAGUGUGGGGCAUCAAAGAGAGGCUGGGUGUUCUAGUACAUUCCAAUAAAGUCCAAGGUCGCGCACAAGCACACUUUGUCAUUAAACACCUGAAUAGCUCAUUGGAGGCGCUUGCCAUCCAGGCGAAUGAACCGAAACACCGGGUCUGCCAGCCACUUGGGGGUGCGCACAAUGUUUGUCAACGGCGAUACCGGGUUUUCGCGUAGCUACUCGUAGAUGGAUUCUUCCGAUGCUCCUUUUGA
rnacentral:lncRNA from 1 species